rnacentral:rRNA from 1 species
GAUGAACGCUGGCGGCGUGCCUAAUACAUGCAAGUCGAGCGAACAGACGAGGAGCUUGCUCCUCUGACGUUAGCGGCGGACGGGUGAGUAACACGUGGAUAACCUACCUAUAAGACUGGGAUAACUUCGGGAAACCGGAGCUAAUACCGGAUAAUAUAUUGAACCGCAUGGUUCAAUAGUGAAAGGCGGUUUUGCUGUCACUUAUAGAUGGAUCCGCGCCGCAUUAGCUAGUUGGUAAGGUAACGGCUUACCAAGGCAACGAUGCGUAGCCGACCUGAGAGGGUGAUCGGCCACACUGGAACUGAGACACGGUCCAGACUCCUACGGGAGGCAGCAGUAGGGAAUCUUCCGCAAUGGGCGAAAGCCUGACGGAGCAGCGCCGCGUGAGUGAUGAAGGUCUUCGGAUCGUAAAACUCUGUUAUUAGGGAAGAACAAAUGUGUAAGUAACUAUGCACGUCUUGACGGUACCUAAUCAGAAAGCCACGGCUAACUACGUG